rnacentral:rRNA from 1 species
UACGUAGGGUGCAAGCGUUAAUCGGAAUUACUGGGCGUAAAGCGUGCGCAGGCGGCUUUGCAAGACAGAUGUGGAAAUCCCCGGGCUCAACCUGGGAACUGCAUUGUGACUGCAUGGCUAGAGUACGGUAGAGGGGAUGGAAUUCCGCGUGUAGCAGUGAAAUGCGUAGAUAUGCGGAGGAACACCGAUGGCGGAAGGCAAUCCCCUGGACCCUGUACUGACGCUCAUGCACGAAAGGCGUGGGGAGCAAACAGGAUU